CUCAAUGUUUUUUUAAAUUGCUGUAGUAUUUUGACUAUACAAAGGUAUUGAAAUAAGAUUUUAAUUGAAUGUUAAGAGAAUGAAUUAACAAAAAAAAUCUUUUUUAAAUUUAAAAAUUGAAAUUAUUUUUAUUUGUGAAGAAACAAUAAUAUAAAUUAAGGACAAGAAGACCCUAAGAAUUUUUACUUUUUUUUGAAAAAGUUUAAUUGGGGAGAUUAAUAAAAAUUAAAAACUUUAUUUUAAUAAAAAUGAACCAUUAAUAAUGGUUAUAUGAAAAAAAUACUCUAGGGAUAACAGCGUAAUAAUUUUUGAUAGUUCUUAUAGACAAAAUAGUUUGCGACCUCGAUGUUGGAUUAGGAUUCUUAUUUAAUGAAGAAGUAAAAAAAGAAGUUUGUUCAACUUUUAAAUUCCUACUUGAUCUGAGUUCAAACCGG
rnacentral:rRNA from 1 species